GAUGAACGCUAGCGACAGGCCUAACACAUGCAAGUCGAGGGGUAUUGGGUUUUCGGACCCGAGAGACCGGCGCACGGGUGCGUAACGCGUAUGUAACCUGCCUUACACCGGGGGAUAGCCUUCCGAAAGGGAGAUUAAUACCGCAUAAUAUUAUAUAGCCUCCUGGCAUUAUAAUUAAAACUUCGGUGGUGUAAGAUGGACAUGCGUAUGAUUAGCUAGUUGGCGGGGUAACGGCCCACCAAGGCGACGAUCAUUAGGGGUUCUGAGAGGAAGGUCCCCCACACUGGUACUGAGACACGGACCAGACUCCUACGGGAGGCAGCAGUGAGGAAUAUUGGUCAAUGGACGGAAGUCUGAACCAGCCAUGUCGCGUGCAGGAUGACUGCCCUAUGGGUUGUAAACUGCUUUUGUAUGGGAAGAAAGUGGGGUACGUGUACCCCUUUGCCGGUACCAUACGAAUAAGGAUCGGCUAACUCCGUG
rnacentral:rRNA from 1 species